rnacentral:rRNA from 1 species
CACGUAGGGGGCAAGCGUUGUCCGGAUUUAUUGGGCGUAAAGAGCUCGUAGGCGGUUCGCUAAGUCGGGUGUGAAACCUCCAGGCUCAAUCUGGAGACGCCACCUGAUACUGGUGUGACUCGAGUCCGGUAGGGGAGCGUGGAAUUCCUGGUGUAGCGGUGAAAUUCGUAGAUAUUAGGAAGAACACCAGUGGCGAAGGCGGCUCACUGGCCCGGUACUGACGCUGAGGCGCGAAAGCGUGGGGAGCAAACAGG